rnacentral:misc_RNA from 1 species
GUAGGUGAACCUGCGGAAGGAUCAUUAACACGUAUCCAACGUUAAACAACCCGUGAACCUUCAUUGGGGUGUGUGGUAAUUUUAACCUCUCAAGCAGUGGCCGGUAAAUCACGGCAACAGAAUGACUCGGACAUUGCUUGAUGUUAAAGGUGCUGGACACUUUCGUAAUUUAGACGAGGGCACUUGCGCUUGUGUAGUGAGAACGUGUUUGGGAACUUUAAGGUCUAGGGUAACUUGAAUGUCUGGUAAA